UACGGAGGGUCCAAGCGUUGUCCGGAUUUAUUGGGUGUAAAGGGUGUGUAGGCGGGUUUGCAAGUCAGAGGUGAAAGCCUACGGCUCAACCGUAGAAUUGCCUCUGAUACUGCAAGUCUUGAGUCUUGGAGAGGUUGUCGGAAUUCGUGGUGUAGCGGUGAAAUGCGUAGAUAUCACGAGGAACACCGGUUACGUAGGUGGGCAACUGGACAAGUACUGACGCUGAGGCACGAAAGCGUGGGGAGCAAACAGG
rnacentral:misc_RNA from 1 species